UGCAGUGUUACAGUACCUGCACCCAGCAGCCUUCCUGGUGGGAUGAUCAUAAAGGACUGCUACACCAGUGCAGCAUUUGGCAUCCUUGGUUUUCAUUCUGCUAUGCUUGUUAAACCUGCUAAUUUUGCUGAAACAGUC
rnacentral:snoRNA from 1 species